rnacentral:rRNA from 1 species
AUUGAACGCUGGCGGCAGGCCUAACACAUGCAAGUCGAACGAGUGGCGGACGGGUGAGUAAUGUCUGGGAAACUGCCUGAUGGAGGGGGAUAACUACUGGAAACGGUAGCUAAUACCGCAUACCAUCGGAUGUGCCCAGCUGGGAUUAGCUAGUCGGUGGGGUAACGGGUCACCUGGGCGACGAUCCCUAGCUGGUCUGAGAGGAUGACCAGCCACACUGGAACUGUGACACGGUCCAGACUCCGACGGGAGGCAGUGGUGGGGAGUAUUGCACAAUGGGCGCAAGCCUGAUGCAGCCAUGCCGCGUGUAUGAAGAAGGCCUUCGGGUUGUAAAGCACUUUCAGCGGGGAGGCGUUACCCGCAGAAUAAGCACCGGCUAACUUCGGGCCAGCAGCCGCGGUAAUAC